ensembl:lncRNA
AAGGAAUAAGUCAAAGGUUCAGUACCUCUUUCAUAACAUUUCUCUCAGUGCAAACAUCUAAUAAUGAUCGUCAUAAUUAUAAAGCUGAGCGUACUAUUAACAACGAGUCCUACAUGAAGUUGUCUUUGCUCUGACUGUGUAUAGGAGGAUGGCCUAGAAGGCCUCCAGAGGCCAUUUACAGCCAACUUGUGAUUCUAUGAUUCUCAGCAGGAAAACAGCUCACAAUUCUUCAGACUGUGAACUCUCCAACUCUCCACUCUCAAGGCAGAAAGACCAGAGAAAAAAGAAUUCCAGUGAUAUCACCUGGACAACAGAUGGACUACAGACAACAUUACUUGUUUGGCACUGAGAAAGUACAAGACAAGAGAUGACCUGAAAUGUUAAGCUGUAAGAGGAAGAUUUUGCUCUUAUCAGCAGCUCCUUCAUACCUAGAAUGAGGUACCUGCUCUGUUGCAACAGCACCUGGAAUUCAAAAUCACCUUGUAGCAGCCAGCCCACCUUGGCAUCUUUCUUUGCUGACAAAGAAGUAACGUGGAGGGGAGAGAAGAGAAUAGAUAAAGGAUAAUAUUUCCUGGGUGUUAAAUACUUUUCAUCGGGAUGAUCAACUUCAGUGCUUUUUAGUGACUUUUAAUCCUUUUAACUCUUUUCUGAGCAUCUGUUUCCCUACUAUGCAGUUCAAUGCUGUCUGUAAAAAGUGAUUUGAUUGAUGUGUAAUGAAAUCUUACCUAAAUACUUAAGUAAAGUAUUGAUUGAACAAUUAUACUUCAUUUAUACUGAAGUGUUAUUUCUUCCUUCGUUCAGUUCUCUGUUCCUUGAUCUGAGAUUCUAUAGAUCCUUGUUAUGACUCUAUUUAUAAGAACUGACACCUUUAGGCUGUAAAUCAAUUUUCCAUUUUCAUUGUAUUGGAGAAAUUGCUUUUCAGUAUGAUUCUGCUCCUUCAAAGGACAGGUUCAGUGCAUCACUUAUACUUGAUUGAUCCACUACGUUUACUUUUGAAGAACUUGGCAAGGUUCACAGGUGGAGUACUCUGACAUAUUCCUAUUGCUAAAAAAGCUAAUUUAAUAUUAAUGUUGAACUUUCUCACCUAGAACUGAAUGGACAGCUAUCAGGUUGGUUUGUGUGAUAGUGGAAUCAUUUCCCUGUUCAAUACCAUGUAGUUCUUGUACAUCCUAGUUUAUACUGUUUUUUCAAUUGUUAUUACUUUUUAUUCCCACUCUCUAAAACAAUCGGGACCAGCCACCAUCCUGCAGCCAGUUGAAGGAACAUUUCUAUUGCAGAUUAAAUAAAGAAUAUGAAUAAGCACAUUUGUUAAAGGAAAAGUCACAGUCACCUGGCUAUUGAAACAAAUGAAGGAUGUAUUUUUAAAUUGUACAUUCAUCUGGCUGGUUUAGGUAGUGCAUAUCUGUCCCGAGUCUCAACUUCAUCAAAGUUCUAAUGGAGCACUAGAAUUUGUUUAUGCUGUUCUAUGUACUUAACUUGACAACUUUGUUUUCAUCCUGUUAACUUUAAUUACUUAUUUUGAAGUCAACAGAUAUGUUAAAAAAAAAUCUAUCAAAACCAAAUAAGCUAAGAAGCAAACAAACAAACAAACAAAAAAACCCACUUUAUCUGGUUUUGAACAUUUUAUUUACUGAAUAUUUUCUUGAGUAUAAAAUUUAAAAAUGCAUCUUUCAUUUGUUUCAUUUUUACAACAUAAGAAUAAAAAUGGAAAAGUUUUACAACUAUGUGUACAUUUUUUCUUCGUUAAUAGUUUGUGACAUUCUUUUUAAUUACAAAGCUUAGCUGGCCUAGUGUGUGUGUUAUUUAUCAUCUUUGAAACAGUAAUACUUUAAUUAGGACACUAUGAGAUUUCUUCAUUUAUACUGAGAAUAUUUCUUCACAAGUUGAAUUUAUGAGUUUGGCAUCCUGUACUACACUACAUUAAUGAUGGCAUGAAAGGUGUGAAUAAACAUUGAGAUGCUUGGAUCUAAGAAUUCAGCUUCAGGUAAUUAAUUUUGAAAUUCUAUAAACUCUAUGCAGAUUUUAAAACACAUUAUGCGUACAACAUCUGCAAUAAAAAGCACAGUCAGUAUUCUCAGGUAGUCUUAAGUGAAUAGUGGUGGAUAUAUCAGCUCAAGUUAGAUAAAUGAAGACUUAAAUAGCUAUAUGAUUAUGAAAUUGACAUUAUUCAAAUAUUUUAUAAUACUUCAAGACUUGUAAAUUUCAAAAACGAUUAAAUAUGAUUGAAUUAGCCAUAUUUUAAAUUGAAUUUAUAUUUAUUUAUAUUUAUAUUUAUUUCUAAUAAUUAUUGGACUUUCCUUUUCUGAUUGAUGUACCUGUUGAAGCCUUUAUUAUCCUUCUUUGCAC